UCUUUCCCGUAUUCAUUAAAAAAUAAAUAAACGUUAAUGCUUUUAUUCUUCACUGUGCACUAUCUCUCCCCUAAAAUUACAUUUUUGCUUGGCUUGCUCCCCAGUUCCCACCUCACUCUCCUUCACCCUCUAUCAACCAUGUUGUCGACUACGCCCCCUACUCCGCGGCCGCAGCUCAGACUUCCACCAAUUCCGAAGGGUCUGGCGGCUUUAAGUCACCUAUGAAUCCACCAGAAAAGGCGUAGUUGGAAAGGUCUGGCAGUGGAUCGGUGCGGUCGUCGUCUCGUCAAUGUUCGAUUUGAAUAUGGUCAAUCGUUUUGAACACCGAUACUGUUCGAGAUAACUUUGAUUCACUUCACACAUAAGGGAGCAGCAGUUUCAUGCUUUCAAGAAGCUUUUGGUGCAUAUGCAAUCCAAAGAAGAAAAUAAUCGAGAAAUUGAAGAACCGCAAUCGACACCUUCUUUCCACGCUUUUAAUCCAAGGUUGGUCUCGUUGCUUUCUGCCGACUUCCCUCUUUGCCCCACCAACAACAAUCAAUCGCUUUCGUUUACCCACAAAUCACUCUACAAAUAUUGGUGUCUCACUCUGUAUAGGACAGAUAAGUUGAAAAGGAUUGCGGCAGAAGAACGAGUUGUCCUUAGGAUUCAAAGUCGGAUUGCUGAACAUAUUAGAAGUCUUGAGGAAUAGGGAAUUCUUCAGGUUGAAGAGCUUGUCAGAAUGAGAAUGGUUUAUGAAUUGUCGAAUUUGCACAAGGUAAGAGAGAUGCAACGUGAAGUCUUGAGGAUACAAAACAAAAGCCAAAUUCCAUGGGAGUAUCAUCCUCUGCCAUAUUUUUCUGUAAUUGCGAGGAGAGUUGAUCCUAACAUUCAUAGGAAAAAUUUGUAGAUACAUAAUCACUGGUAAGAGCUACAUAUUUCUUCUUGUCACCUCCAAUGUAUUUCAGAUCAUUCAUUCGCAUUUUCCUCCGUCUAUUUAUUUUUAAUUGAUUUCUUCCCUCGUGAAACUUUAAAUGCAAAUUAAGUUAAUGAUUCAACUUAAGUUUCGUAAUUGAUUGA